CGGGGGUGGGGGGGGCCCUCGGGCCAGGCCAGCCUGCAGAGGCGCUGGCACUAGUACCACGGACGCGGAGAAUCGCAAAGACAAGCCUUCCAGGCCCGUCUCCACCGCCAGGGGCUCCGUGACCUCUGGCUGUGACCUCGGGUCACGGAGCCCAGGCCUCAGUUUCCCCACUCCGCCCGAGUGGCCAAGGAGGGGAGCGCUCACGUCACAACACGCCCUGUCUAGCCUCGGAGUCCUACCUUCCCCGGCUGGGCGAGUCGGUGUGUUUCGGAAAGGUGACAGGAGAUGUGUCGUUGCUCUUUUUCUGAAUUCGUUCUGAUGAUGGAGACGGGACGGCGGUGGAGCUGCAUCGGGGCGGCCAGUGAGUGUCCUGGCGUAACUUGGCACGAAAGGGUCGGUACUUAGGAGGGGCGCUGGCCAGACCAGGUGUUCUUCGACGGCCACCGUGGCUCCGUGUUGAGAGCUUGAAACACACUUGUGUUCUGUGCUGCAUCACCUCUCUUUUAUUUUUAUUUAUUUUUUGGUCUCAGUGGUACCCCGGCCUGCAUGGUGGCGAGGGUGGUCCGGAAAAGCUGUGAUUGAUUGAUUGGUGUAGACAUGCCUUUGACCUUCACCUCACCUUUUCCUACCAGUAACCACUUUGAGAUCCUGUUGCUGCAGGAGUUCAGGGAAAACCCAUCUGUGAUAUUAUUUAGGGAAGGGUGACCGCGCCCUGGCUUCUGCAGAGUGUUGAGUAAGUCGCCCUGCUGCUCAUUCUGGAAAGAACCUGCCGCUGGCACGGGAUCAGGGAUAAACCCAUGAUGUUGCGCGGCGGCGGUUUCUGUUUAUGGGCUGGUGUUCACACAACACGCUUCGCCAGGAUGUGACCGGCUCCGUGUAAACCUCCCGUGACCGCACAGUGUGUGUGUGACGCCUUGCGUCUCAGGGACGUGCCCGGGGCUGCGUGCCCCCUGGGCCAGUGGUCCGUCCCCACGUAGCUCCUUGUUGGAAAAGGUGGACAUUUGGUGGAUGUUUUCUGUGAAUAAUUAUUAAAAAAUAAUGUCACCGAAAGCGUAAGAGCAGCUCCGUGGUUGGACUUUUUCAUUUCAGUAUUU